CCCAUUCCCCCUACAUCCACACACGCACACACUCACUCACACACAAUCACACACACACACACACACAAACACACUCACACACAAAUACACCAUCCUCAUCACCCCCCUACAGGUCCACCGAAAGCUGACACACUUUGUUCAGGCUGGGAGGCCGAGAGCUGCCGGGCCGCGACAUGUGAGAAGAGCUCGACCCCUUGACCCUCACAGCUCUCUACCAUCGAACCCUCUUGAAGUGACGUAGUGACCGCGACCUGCCGCCCUCCUGCCUCGGGCAUGCCUCAGCCGGGUAUGAAUGGGAUGGAGCCCGUGUUUGGCGAGGCCUACGGGGGUCACAGGGGCCUGCUGAGCCCUUACCCCCUGGCCAUGUCGCCACAAGGGGGCAGGACCGAGUACGACCAGAGCGUCCUCCUCAUGCUCGGCUCCCCGGCAUCGCCACGGAAACGGCCCUUUGAGUUGCUAAGCGACCUGGUGGACGACGGGGGCUGCGGGGAGG